rnacentral:rRNA from 1 species
UACGUAGGGUGCAAGCGUUGUCCGGAAUUAUUGGGCGUAAAGAGCUCGUAGGCGGUCUGUCGCGUCUGCUGUGAAAACUCGGGGCUUAACCCCGGGCCUGCAGUGGGUACGGGCAGACUAGAGUGCGGUAGGGGAGACUGGAAUUCCUGGUGUAGCGGUGAAAUGCGCAGAUAUCAGGAAGAACACCAAUGGCGAAGGCAGCUCUCUGGGCCAGUAUUGACGCUGAGGAGCGAAAGCGUGGGGAGCGAACAGG